rnacentral:rRNA from 1 species
UGUAUAAUGGGUCAGCGACUUAUAUUCUGUAGCAAGGUUAACCGAAUAGGGGAGCCGAAGGGAAACCGAGUCUUAACUGGGCGUUAAGUUGCAGGGUAUAGACCCGAAACCCGGUGAUCUAGCCAUGGGCAGGUUGAAGGUUGGGUAACACUAACUGGAGGACCGAACCGACUAAUGUUGAAAAAUUAGCGGAUGACUUGUGGCUGGGGGUGAAAGGCCAAUCAAACCGGGAGAUAGCUGGUUCUCCCCGAAAGCUAUUUAGGUAGCGCCUCGUGAAUUCAUCUCCGGGGGUAGAGCACUGUUUCGGCAAGGGGGUCAUCCCGACUUACCAACCCGAUGCAAACUGCGAAUACCGGAGAAUGUUAUCACGGGAGACACACGGCGGGUGCUAACGUCCGUCGUGAAGAGGGAAACAACCCAGACCGCCAGCUAAGGUCCCAAAGUCAUGGUUAAGUGGGAAACGAUGUGGGAAGGCCCAGACAGCCAGGAUGUUGGCUUAGAAGCAGCCAUCAUUUAAAGAAAGCGUAAUAGCUCACUGGUCGAGUCGGCCUGCGCGGAAGAUGUAACGGGGCUAAACCAUGCACCGAAGCUGCGGCAGCGACACUAUGUGUUGUUGGGUAGGGGAGCGUUCUGUAAGCCUGUGAAGGUGGCCUGUGAGGGUUGCUGGAGGUAUCAGAAGUGCGAAUGCUGACAUAAGUAACGAUAAAGCGGGUGAAAAGCCCGCUCGCCGGAAGACCAAGGGUUCCUGUCCAACGUUAAUCGGGGCAGGGUGAGUCGACCCCUAAGGCGAGGCCGAAAGGCGUAGUCGAUGGGAAACAGGUUAAUAUUCCUGUACUUGGUGUUACUGCGAAGGGGGGACGGAGAAGGCUAUGUUGGCCGGGCGACGGUUGUCCCGGUUUAAGCGUGUAGGCUGGUUUUCCAGGCAAAUCCGGAAAACCAAGGCUGAGGCGUGAUGACGAGGCACUACGGUGCUGAAGCGACAAAUGCCCUGCUUCCAGGAAAAGCCUCUAAGCAUCAGGUAACAUCAAAUCGUACCCCAAACCGACACAGGUGGUCAGGUAGAGAAUACCAAGGCGCUUGAGAGAACUCGGGUGAAGGAACUAGGCAAAAUGGUGCCGUAACUUCGGGAGAAGGCACGCUGAUAUGUAGGUGAAGCGACUUGCUCGUGGAGCUGAAAUCAGUCGAAGAUACCAGCUGGCUGCAACUGUUUAUUAAAAACACAGCACUGUGCAAACACGAAAGUGGACGUAUACGGUGUGACGCCUGCCCGGUGCCGGAAGGUUAAUUGAUGGGGUUAGCGGCAACGCGAAGCUCUUGAUCGAAGCCCCGGUAAACGGCGGCCGUAACUAUAACGGUCCUAAGGUAGCGAAAUUCCUUGUCGGGUAAGUUCCGACCUGCACGAAUGGCGUAAUGAUGGCCAGGCUGUCUCCACCCGAGACUCAGUGAAAUUGAACUCGCUGUGAAGAUGCAGUGUACCCGCGGCAAGACGGAAAGACCCCGUGAACCUUUACUAUAGCUUGACACUGAACAUUGAGCCUUGAUGUGUAGGAUAGGUGGGAGGCUUUGAAGUGUGGACGCCAGUCUGCAUGGAGCCGACCUUGAAAUACCACCCUUUAAUGUUUGAUGUUCUAACGUUGGCCCGUAAUCCGGGUUGCGGACAGUGUCUGGUGGGUAGUUUGACUGGGGCGGUCUCCUCCUAAAGAGUAACGGAGGAGCACGAAGGUUGGCUAAUCCUGGUCGGACAUCAGGAGGUUAGUGCAAUGGCAUAAGCCAGCUUGACUGCGAGCGUGACGGCGCGAGCAGGUGCGAAAGCAGGUCAUAGUGAUCCGGUGGUUCUGAAUGGAAGGGCCAUCGCUCAACGGAUAAAAGGUACUCCGGGGAUAACAGGCUGAUACCGCCCAAGAGUUCAUAUCGACGGCGGUGUUUGGCACCUCGAUGUCGGCUCAUCACAUCCUGGGGCUGAAGUAGGUCCCAAGGGUAUGGCUGUUCGCCAUUUAAAGUGGUACGCGAGCUGGGUUUAGAACGUCGUGAGACAGUUCGGUCCCUAUCUGCCGUGGGCGCUGGAGAACUGAGGGGGGCUGCUCCUAGUACGAGAGGACCGGAGUGGACGCAUCACUGGUGUUCGGGUUGUCAUGCCAAUGGCACUGCCCGGUAGCUAAAUGCGGAAGAGAUAAGUGCUGAAAGCAUCUAAGCACGAAACUUGCCCCGAGAUGAGUUCUCCCUGACUCCUUGAGAGUCCUGAAGGAACGUUGAAGACGACGACGUUGAUAGGCCGGGUGUGUAAGCGCAGCGAUGCGUUGAGCUAACCGGUACUA